rnacentral:rRNA from 1 species
ACACAUGCAAGUCGAGCGGAAAGGCCCUUCGGGGUACUCGAGCGGCGAACGGGUGAGUAACACGUGAGUAAUCUGCCCUGCGCUCUGGGAUAGCCACCGGAAACGGUGAUUAAUACCGGAUAGGACCACUUCACGCAUGUGAUGGUGGUGGAAAGUUUUUUCGGCGCAGGAUGUGCUCGCGGCCUAUCAGCUUGUUGGUGAGGUAACGGCUCACCAAGGCUUUGACGGGUAACCGGCCUGAGAGGGUGACCGGUCACACUGGGACUGAGACACGGCCCAGACUCCUACGGGAGGCAGCAGUGGGGAAUAUUGGACAAUGGGCGGAAGCCUGAUCCAGCAACGCCGCGUGAGGGAUGACGGCCUUCGGGUUGUAAACCUCUUUCAGUACCGACGAAGCGCAAGUGACGGUAGGUACAGAAGAAGGACCGGCCAACUACGUGCCAGCAGCCGCGGUAAUACGUAGGGUCCGAGCGUUGUCCGGAAUUAUUGGGCGUAAAGGGCUCGUAGGCGGUUUGUCGCGUCGGGAGUGAAACACCGGGCUUAACNUCGGUGCUUGCUUUCGAUACGGGCAGACUAGAGGUAUGCAGGGGAGAAUGGAAUUCCUGGUGUAGCGGU